GAGGUCCAGCCUGCCCAGUGAUAUUCAACGGCCGCGGUAUUCUAACCGUGCAAAGGUAGCGUAAUCACUUGUUUUCUAAAUAAAGACCAGUAUGAAAGGCAUCACGAAGACUAAACUGUCUCCUUUCUCUAAUCAGUGAACCUAAUCUCCCCGUGAAGAAGCGGGGAUACUAUUAUAAGACGAGAAGACCCUAUGGAGCUUUAAACAAUUAUAUGUUUUUGGUUGGGGUGACCGCGGAGAAAAACUUAUCCUCCACGAUGAAAAAUAAGUCACAACUUUACGUAUCAAAAAAUUGACAUUCAUUGACCCAACAAUUGAUUAACGAACUAAGUUACCCUAGGGAUAACAGCACAAUCCGCUUCGAGAGCCCCUAUUGACAAGCGGGCUUAUGACCUCGAUGUUGGAUCGGGAUAUCCUAGUGGUGCAGCCGCUACAAAGGUU
rnacentral:rRNA from 1 species